AGCACUCCAAGGACUGAAAGCCAAAUACCUUCUCUUGGGGCACUCAUACUCAGACACUGUUCCUCUCGACUGCACCGCCAAAGAGUAACUCAAGUGGCGGCCACGACACAUGGAAGCAUGGAACGGCCGAGCGAUCUUCAGAACCACUCCAGACAUCAUAGUAGAAUAAAAGCUACCUCCACCGGAGGAAAAUGGUCCCUAGAGGAACAGGGACUACACAUCAACUGCCUCGAACUGCUAGCAGGAUUGUUUUCCCGACGGAGUCUUUUAAGUAUAUCGACCAAUUGCUCCAUUCUG